GAACCCUUUAUGACCAGAGUGUCUGAAGAGGUGCCUGUCCAAUGUACUCUUCAGUUUGAAUCUUUUCCCACAAACUUCACACUCAUGAUUUCUUGCAUCAGUGUGUGUAAGGGCAUGUUUCUUGAGGGUACCCUUCUCACUGAAACAUUUACCACAAACUUCACACUCAUGAUUUCUUUCACCAGUGUGUGUAAGGGCAUGUUUCUUGAGGGUACCCUUCUCACUGAAACAUUUCCCACAAACUUCACACUCAUGAUUUCUUUCACCAGUGUGUGUAAGAGUGUGUAAUUUGAGGUGACCCUUCCGACUGAAACAUUUCCCACAAACUUCACACUCAUGAUUUCUUUCACCAGUGUGUGUAAGGGCAUGAUUCUUGAGGGUACCCUUCUCACUGAAACAUUUUCCACAAACUUCACACUCAUGAUUUCUUUCACCAGUGUGUGUAAGAGUGUGUAAUUUGAGGGUACCCUUCUGACUGAAACAUUUCCCACAAACUUCACACUCAUGAUUUCUUUCACCAGUGUGUGUAAGAGUGUGUAAUUUGAGGUUACCCUUCCGACUGAAACAUUUCCCACAAACUUCACACUCAUGAUUUCUUUCACCAGUGUGUGUAAGGGUGUGUCUGUUGAGGGUACUCUUCUGACUGAAACAUUUCCCACAAACUUCACACUCAUGAUUUCUUUCACCAGUGUGUGUAAGAGUGUGCAAUUUGAGGUUUCCCUUCUGACUGAAACAUUUCCCACAAACUUCACACUCAUGAUUUCUUUCACCAGUGUGUGUAAGGGCAUGUUUCUUGAGGGUACUCUUCUGACUGAAACAUUUCCCACAAACUUCACACUCAUGGUUUCUUGCACCAGUGUGUGUAAGGGUGUGAUGUUUGGGGUUACUCUUAUUACUAAACCUUUUGCCACACUCCUGGCUUUCAUGAGGUCUUACACCAGAGUGUGUGGGUGUAUUUAUUGAGGUCAUCCUUGCACCUUGCAGCCUCCACUGCAGCACUACUCUGGAUGUGAGGAGUUGGCUGGCCUUGAGGAACCUUGGAGAUGCCGGAGAAGGCGGCGAGGUUGCUUCAAAGCCACACUCAGUGAGCAAUUGAGCAGGCAAGACGUGGGAUGCACCAAGGAGUCCUGAAGUCAGUGGCACCAAGGACAGAAGAAGCACUGAACACAGCAACUGUCUCGAUGCCUCACUUCAACACUAACACCAGUGGUGGUCAUUGGGACACAGACAUGUGCUGAAAAAAAAAAAGAAAGACUGUUACGGAAACUGAACUUGGAGGGAGGGAUCAGGGUGGUGGUGGGUGGACACAAGGCAAGCCACAGGCCACCGGGUCAGGCAAAUAGUGCGUGUUGAUGAUAUCAUCGGUCUUACAUUAUUUACGAGGACCACACUGUUUUUCUGAUAGGUUUGUAUAUGUUUCAAAUUAUUCUGGUUAUUGAUUAUUCUUGGGAGUGUGGGGGAAGGGGGGCAAAAAAAUAACUGCAAGUGUCACAUGAGCUGGCAGGGAUAAUCCUACAGGAAGGGACACACGGACUUGGUAUCAUUGCUGGGGUGAUGGUACUACGCACUCAUUGGCCAAGUCUUAACUUGU